rnacentral:rRNA from 1 species
AUUGAACGCUGGCGGCAGGCCUAACACAUGCAAGUCGAACGGUAACAGAAAGCAGCUUGCUGCUUUGCUGACGAGUGGCGGACGGGUGAGUAAUGUCUGGGAAACUGCCUGAUGGAGGGGGAUAACUACUGGAAACGGUAGCUAAUACCGCAUAACGCCGCAAGACCAAAGAGGGGGACCUUCGGGCCUCUUGCCAUCGGAUGUGCCCAGAUGGGAUUAGCUAGUAGGUGGGGUAACGGCUCACCUAGGCGACGAUCCCUAGCUGGUCUGAGAGGAUGACCAGCCACACUGGAACUGAGACACGGUCCAGACUCCUACGGGAGGCAGCAGUGGGGAAUAUUGCACAAUGGGCGCAAGCCUGAUGCAGCCAUGCCGCGUGUAUGAAGAAGGCCUUCGGGUUGUAAAGUACUUUCAGCGGGGAGGAAGGGAGUAAAGUUAAUACCUUUGCUCAUUGACGUUACCCGCAGAAGAAGCACCGGCUAACUCCGUG